CCUACGGGAGGCUGCAGUGAGGAAUAUUGGUCAAUGGGCGCGAGCCUGAACCAGCCAAGUAGCGUGAAGGAUGACUGCCCUACGGGUUGUAAACUUCUUUUAUAAAGGAAUAAAGUGAGGUACGUGUGCCUUUUUGCAUGUACCUUAUGAAUAAGGAUCGGCUAAUUCCGUGCCAGCAGCCGCGGUAAUACGGAGGAUCCGAGCGUUAUCCGGAUUUAUUGGGUUUAAAGGGAGCGUAGGUGGGUUGUUAAGUCAGUUGUGAAAGUUUGCGGCUCAACCCUAGAAUUGCAAUUGAUACUGGCAGCCUUGAGUACGGUUGAGGUAGGCGGAAUUCGUGGUGUAGCGGUGAAAUGCUUAGAGAUGACGAAGAACUCCGAUUGCGAAGGCAGCCUGCUAAACUGCCACUGACAUUGAUGCUCGAAAGUGUGGGUAUCAAACAGGAUUAGAUACCCGAGUAGUC
rnacentral:rRNA from 1 species